rnacentral:lncRNA from 1 species
AAACCUUUCUCUCUCUCUCUUUAGAUUGUUGUCCCUCCUCCUUUCUUCUAUGAAGUCCUAAUUGGGUUUUUCAAGAGGCUCCGGGCUGAGGCGAAUCAAAAGGUCCUGAUUCCUUUGUCUUCUCCUCGACCUGAGCCACCUGUGUGGAUUGUAGUCCAAACGGUCUUUUCCAGGGCCUGGGCUUCUCUUUUCUAUUCCCUCUCCCUGGCUGAGCUUGUCUUUCAUUACGUGGACCUGACACUGUCUGGAGGAGCCCACGUCGGUUUGUCACCGUCUAAUAGGGCCUAGCAAUCUACAAGGUGCACAUACACCUCCGAGUUUGUGUCUCUCUCUGUCAGCAGAGGACGAGACCAAUAACGCUGUCUUACUUGCUUCAGUCUGGGGUACAAUUUCACUAGGUGUCUACGUCGAUGCAGGGGAUUGAAUCAGACACCUAUGGACAGAUUCUGCCUAUGAUUUACUGGACAGAAAUUGACCAAAGCUCACUAGGGUCUAGGAUGCGAGGUUGCUACCGCUACAUUAGAAGCUAGUCUUCAGGUAUGGGUUAAUCAGGGUUAAUUGUUUCCCUGGUCUGCUUCUCCUGCUACAUUCAGUAGUUUUGCCUGGGUGGAUUUUCUCUAACAGCCAUCCCACCAUCACCUCUGCAGAUACCGCGAACGGCUGUUCUGCUGCUCAGAAAUGGGAAGUGAGAUAUUGAGAGACUGGGGAGGAUUGUGUUGAGAGAAGGAAAAAAGAAG